rnacentral:rRNA from 1 species
GGGUUGUGAGGUUAAGCGACUAAGCGUACACGGUGGAUGCCCUGGCAGUCAGAGGCGAUGAAGGGCGUGCUAAUCUGCGAUAAGCGCCGGUAAGGUGAUAUGAACCGUUAUAACCGGCGAUACCCGAAUGGGGAAACCCAGUGUGACUCGUCACACUAUCAUUAACUGAAUCCAUAGGUUAAUGAGGCGAA